AGGCACUGCCUGCCCAGUGACUUAAUCGUUAAACGGCCGCGGUAUUUUGACCGUGCAAAGGUAGCAUAAUCACUUGUUCUCUAAAUAAGGACUUGUAUGAAUGGCCACACGAGGGUUUUACUGUCUCUUACUUUUAAUCAGUGAAAUUGACCUCCCCGUGAAGAGGCGGGGAUAAUAAAAUAAGACGAGAAGACCCUAUGGAGCUUUAAUUAAUCAACCCAAAAAUCACAAAACAGUACCGCCUGAGGGAUAACAAAAUUUUAUAUGGGUUGACAAUUUCGGUUGGGGUGACCUCGGAGCACAAAAAACCCUCCGAGUGAUUAAAACCUAGGCCUACUGGCCAAAGUGUAAUAUCACUUAUUGAUCCAAGUUUUUGAUCAACGGAACAAGUUACCCUAGGGAUAACAGCGCAAUCCUAUUCUAGAGUCCAUAUCGACAAUAGGGUUUACGACCUCGAUGUUGGAUCAGGACAUCCUAAUGGUGCAGCAGCUAUUAAGGGUUCGUUUGUUCAACGAUUAAAGUCCUACGUGAUC
rnacentral:rRNA from 1 species